UCGGGUGUCGCCAAGUGGUAAGGCAAAGGACUCUGAAUCCUUUAUGCGUAGGUUCGAAUCCUACCACCCGAGCCA
rnacentral:tRNA from 1 species